UAUUUCACAUCUAUAACCAGACACCGGACUGGUCAGGAUCUGAUGUCCUUUUCUGGAUUUGCCCCUAUGUGUGCUACAGCUGGUGCUGAUCCAAAGGAAACAUGUGGAGGAGUCUUUGACCCAGCUGAGAGGAUCUUCCUGCCGUCAGCAGGUUUCUCUCUACAGGACGCUGGCAGAUGAUGGAAAAAGCCCUUCAACUGACACAGAACAACACAGACGGCCAGGUCCCAUCUCAGCACUCUCCAUCCUCCCACAUCCCCCCCAGCUCCUCUCCCUCCCUGACUUUCCUCUCCUCCUUCCUCUUUUUGUCCACUCUCUUCAUCUGUUUG